GGGGCAUUUGAAAUAAGUAACUUUCCGGGUAUUCGCAAGGCGUAGAAAAUCUAAGUUAAUCUUGAGCAUCAUUUUUAAACAAGCAUCUAUAAAUCAUUUCACUUUUUUAAAGUCAGUGGAAGUUCACAAACAAGUCAGGAUAAGAAUAAAGUUUAAAAAUCAUUAACUUGCAUUAAAGGCCAUGACACACAACUGCAGCACUUUUAUUUUAAUUUCUCUUAUUUUCAAAGAGUGGUGAUGUUUUGGAUUUAUUCUGGAAGAGGUGCCCCCACACGGUGUGUUUUUGGUUUUUGUCUUACCGUGGUAGGUAAUAAAAGGGAUUACAGGCCCCCAGAAGGACGAGAUAGCGCCAGGGUGUAAUCCAGCCCGUGGUUUCCUGGAUACCGUAUUGUCUAUUCUGCUCCGCUAUGUGAAAAAUGUUGAAUUUCAACAAUGGGUUUCAGUGCUGUAUUGUUGAGUUUUGUAUGAACUAAUCUAGCUUCACUUAAAAAAAAAAAAAAGAAAGAAAGAAAAAGAAAAGAAAGAAGAAAAAAAGGGAAAGAAAAAAAAAAAAAAGCCCAGCUUUGGACAAAAGUCUGAGCCGGUGCGUUCCAAAGUCCCUGGCAGAGCUGGCUGUGGUGGGGAUACGCUGCCCCGCCGCCUCUCUGUCCACGCUCGGCUCACCCCUGUCCUCAGGUGCAUCACCCACACCCUUGCACCCAGUCUCGAUCCUCUGGUGGGGACGUCCCAGGACUUGCCAGCUGGGAUGGGCCUCCGCCGAGAGCUCUGUGCAGCCUUUGUAAGCAAGCCUGCCAGGUCUCUCUGGAAACGUGGCCGUCCAUCAGUGAGUGAAAUACUCUCUUCCUGUUCCAAAUGGCAGAAUGGCAUCCAUCAAAAGCCCCCGCACCCAGUGAAGUCCCUCCUCCAGUUUUAUUCGAGGAAAUGCCUGAUGU